rnacentral:lncRNA from 1 species
GGGGGCAGCGUGGAGCCGGGCGCGGAGCUGUGGAGUCGCUGCCCGGAGCGCGGAGCCCGGAGCCCGCUGCGGUGCAGGCGCGUGGAGGGCGGGCGGCCCGGCUGUUAGCACUGGGUGGUUUCGGCCACCGUGGUGCGGAUCUGUGCGACCUUUGCUUUUUAAGGAAGGGGAGAGGUGGAGAUGAGUUCUUCAUUUCGCGUGUGUGUUAGUCGGGAGAGUGGCACUCGCUGCCCUCGCGCUUUCCAGCUAUCCUUAUCAAGACUUCAGAAACUCUGCCCUUGCACUUGGACCAUUGUAAAAGGAUGAAGCUCUGAAGGAAAGCAUACUAUUUCAGACUGUUCCAGGAAGGAAGAAAACUACAGCUCUGUGUCAGUCAGGUUUGUUUUGUUUUGUUUUGCUUUUUCUUGGUGGGGCGGGGGAGCGCUGUAACAAAUAUUUGAAAUAAUCAUCU